CUUUCUGCCCAUCACGGUAAUUGGAGAUACUGCUAACUAGCUCCCACCUCUGCCUGCCCGCUUCAUGCCUGCCAUCCUUGGCAUCCCUACUUAAAAAAAAGCUCUCCAUUUUUGCAGGAAACCCGAGUGAAGGCUGAGUGCCCCAUGAGGGACCCGGGCUCUGACACAGACAGACUGUCCCGGCUGGAGUCCAGCUCCUGGACGACCUGGGUCUCCCCGUUCUGCACUGGUAUCGCGCGGUGAGGCGGCGCUGAUCAGAACCUCAAAAGACCUGACCCCGAACACCGUCAUCCCAAAUCCUGAGCUCCUGAAAGAUCAAAACCUAACAUGUUGGUGUUCUGACCAGUUUCUCUGUGAAUGGUUCAUCUGCACAUAACUCAUAUCCACGUGACUGAAUGAGCACACCUGUGUGUCUGUGCUGGAGAAAAUGUUAUGAUCACCGACUUUAUUGGGAUGUCAGCAUUCAGAACUGUGUCCCAGGAUCGUGGCCCAGACCCACAGGGCAGGGGCGUGCACUUUUGAGGGUUCUGAAGACGACUCAACAGGGUGCCUGACCUGCUGGAGUGAUACUCUUUCCGAUUCUAACAUCAGUGUGUGCACAUUUUGGGAAAACCAGCAAGUACAGAAGAAGAAUUUAGGCCGGGCCCAGUGGCUCACGCCUGGAAUCCCAGCACUUCGGGAAGUC